ACAUCAUUUCUCUCUCUUUCAUUCCAAACUUAUUUCUUUUUCUUCCUCACUUUCUCUCUCUUCCUCUUCCUCACAACUCUCUCAUGUAAACCUCACUCUCCCUCCAUGAAACCAUUUUUCCUCUACCUUCUUUCUUCAUUUCCGAUCAACUUCGGCUGCCUCACACAGAAAUAAAACCACCAUAAUAUUCCUCUCUUCAUCCUCUUCAAAACCCACUAAUUAAUUUAUAGAUCUAUCAAGUUCACUCAUGAGGUGAUUUCUAAAAUUGUUGUUUUCCGACCACCGUGGACUGCCUAUGGAGAAAUUAAGCAGAAUAUCUCCUUCACCAUGAAUGCUACAGUAAAACACACAAAAAUUUAUCUUCAUCGGAGAAACUUCGCCAGUGACCAGCGCACCGGAAUUCGCUUCCGCGGCGCCGGAGUUACAAUCAGAAGCUUCUUUUAUUUUCAUUCAGAUCUCUUCAAAGCAAUAGGUGGAGAAAAAAUAGAGGAAUUGGAACAACUGCAACAUGUUGUGAUCCAUAUCUUUGUUUUCCUUGGUUUUUGAAGAAAUUCCACAUCCAUAUAUAAUCAAGAUAAAGAGAAGGGUUGUUCUUGAUGAUCUUAAACAAAUUUUGAAGCGUUACAUGAGAGAUCAAGAUUUGUAUUUGAGAUUAAUGGCCAUGAGGGCCUGUUUUGAUUGAUUUCAUGAUGCCCUUGCUUUUUGGCUGUUGCGGUUCUAUGAACUAAGGAUCAAUGGAAGGUUACAGAGAUGAAACAAUAUGUAAGGGUGGAAUUGAGUUCCCUAUGAUACAAAACUGGAACAGUUAUGAUGGGGUACCUGGACAAGAACCUGUUUUUAAUUCUUUCAUGCAUUUGAUGGUUAAGAUUAAAUAGGUAUGCAAUUUAACAAUAUUAGAUUUACCCUGGGAUUGACUUUUAAUUUUAAUUUUUUUUAAAUAGUACCUCUUCUUAAUGUUAGUGUGGAAGAUAUCACAACCAAUUACACGUUUGAGAGUUUCUCCUUCAAGGUAUCUAAUUAAUUCUACCCUUCCUAUCUUCAGCCAUCUGUUAGACUAUGUUUUCUCAGCUAGGUUGCAUUUUGUUUUUAUCACCUUCCUAUUUAAUUUCAAUCUCCCUACUGUAGUUCCUUUAAAGAAUAUUCAUUUUUGUUUGUUAGAAAAUUCACUAUUGACUUUGCAGAGCCAUUUCAUAGUGCUGAAUUAAGAUUUUUACAUAAAUGAUCAUAAAUCAAUGAUUGUUGGAAAAUUGAUACUAGAGAGGCAGAGUCAUUUUUUUUACCAAAUGACUGCAAUAAACCAAGUUACUUGUCUGUUUUGAAUCACAAGAACACAUUAAAUUUGAUAUUGUCUGUGUUAAAUGCAAUGUUCAUUCAAGUUUUAUUCGAAUUCAUUUUCCCUUUUGGAAUGGCGAUGAAGAAUUUAAUGAUAAAAUUAUUGUAGAUUAAACAGUUUUCACUUGCACUCAUUUGAAGACUAAUAAAACAAUCUCCCUACUUAAUAUCAUUGACUUAUAAAUUUGCUGGUAUAGGCAAUAUUGGAGCAAUGGGGGACUAGCAUGUGACUAAUUUUACAUGGAUAGGAAGGUGUUGCUAUAAGCUUCUGCAACAAGUAUAAGAGUGAAUACAACUGUCUAUCAAGUUCUUCAAUAGUGUGUUACAUACAAAAACAAUAGACAAUUAUUUAAAAAAAGUAUAUAGAUUGAUUGAAAGGCAAAAAAUAUUAGACAAUUGUGUAUUAAGUUCUUUAUCAAAUUUGUAACUCAAAACUGAUUAAAUUGAUAUAAAUGAUGUAUGAUUUACGGGAAGCAUAACAGAUGCUUACUUAUUUGUGAAGUAGAUGUUUAAGCUAUUAUUGACAAUGACUUUUUACUAA